rnacentral:rRNA from 1 species
UUAUUGGAGAGUUUGAUCUUGGCUCAGGACGAACGCUGGCGGCGUGCCUAAUACAUGCAAGUCGAGCGCGUGAAACUAGUUGAUCCCUUCGGGGUGACGCUAGUGGACCGAGCGGCGGACGGGUGAGUAACACGUGGGCAACCUGCCUGUAAGACUGGGAUAACUCCGGGAAACCGGGGCUAAUACCGGAUAAUACUUAUAUCCUCAUGGAUGUGAGUUGAAAGAUGGCUUUUCGGAGCAAUCACUUACAGAUGGGCCCGCGGCGCAUUAGCUAGUUGGUGAGGUAACGGCUCACCAAGGCAACGAUGCGUAGCCGACCUGAGAGGGUGAUCGGCCACACUGGGACUGAGACACGGCCCAGACUCCU